rnacentral:ncRNA from 2 species
AUUGAAUAACAGUAUAUAAGUUCUGAAGGGAUGAAAAGAGAAUCCGGUUAGAGUCCGGAGCGAAUCCGUCACUGUAAGGGGAGUCUGUACAAUUAUCCACUGAGGCGAUAUUAUUUUGGGAAGGGUGUACCGACAGAGAACUAAGCCAGGAGAACUGCUUAUAUACUUAGUCAACU